rnacentral:rRNA from 1 species
AUGACCCUGACCGUCGUGAACCUGAUCUGGCCGGGCAUCCAGGGGAACACCGGCAGUGAGGUCCUGGAGGGGGGCAGCUUCUUCCUCCCGUCGCUCUCCCACCGCUCCUUCCCGGCGCCCACCCACGCCUGGUCCAGCCGCAUCUGGGCGCGCACCGGCUGCGCGAUAGGCGACUGCGGCGGGCGGCUCCAGUUCUCCACCGCAGGUCUCCCUCCACCACGGCGGCAACGAGCAAUCGUCCUACGGGGUGAGCGUGGUGGACGGCUUCAACGUGGGCCUCUCCGUGACCCCGCACAAGGGCCGCGACAACUGCCCCGUCUUGGCCUGUUGCAAGGACCUGACCUAGAGCUGCCCGGGCGAGCUGCCUGUGCGUACAUGAUGUUCAUCCUUGGCUUCAUGAGACUCAGCCUUGCCAAGGUCGAGAACGCCUCACAGAUAUGUAUGAGGACGUCUAAUCGAGAUUUCCGGCUGCAGGGUGCAAUUAGUGGAAGAAGAGGAACUGAGAUGUAUGUUCGUGACUUUACCGGCCCUGGCUCCAAGUCCGUGGCCGACCUGGUUACCACCGUCCGGAUGUUCAAGGUGGUCGUCCCAAGAGCUCUAAGAAUUAAAAGCUGGUAUACCCAGGCUAUCCUAAUUCAUGCAUGUUUGUGCCUUCCAGGUGAUGUGCCCAACAUGCUUCUGCACGAGAGUUUGCUAUGGGAACAAGAUGAAGCUGGCACAGUGAGGCUAGAGACGGGUCACAUUUGGUCGCACAUGGGAGUUGUUCUUGUGAACGUGGGUGAUGAGAUUGACACAAAGCUGCCGAGGAAGGAGCGGGUGACAUUUGUUUCUAAAGGUGUUGAUUCUAUAUCUCGAGCAAAGCAGAUUCUUACCUCGAUACCUGCAAGAGCAAGAGAAGCAUACAACCAUAGCCAGAAUGUUCAUGGGAUAAUGGGCCCUUGGUCUCUCAUUUGUGCUUUAUUUUUCUCAUGGCACAUGCUCAAGGAUGGUCAUAUCGCCCAAGAUGGAAAAUAUGAGGAUCUUCUCCAAGCUGGAACUGAGCUCAAUGCACCAAGAACAAAAUCAAUUGAAGCAACACUUCGUGUAUAA